CGGAGUGGCGCACGGGUGAGUAAUACAUCGGAACGUGUCUUCUAGUGGGGGAUAACUGCCCGAAAGGGCAGCUAAUACCGCAUGAGACCUGAGGGUGAAAGCGGGGGAUCGUAAGACCUCGCGCUGGAAGAGCGGCCGAUGUCCGAUUAGCUAGUUGGUGAGGUAACGGCCCACCAAGGCGACGAUCGGUAGCCGGACUGGGAGGUUGAACGGCCACAUUGGGACUGAGACACGGCCCAG
rnacentral:rRNA from 1 species